UUUAAAGAAAGCGUAAUAGCUCACUGAUCGAGUCGUCCUGCGCGGAAGAUGUAACGGGGCUAAGCCAGUUACCGAAGCUGCGGAUGUGCAAUUUAUUGCACGUGGUAGGAGAGCGUUCUGUAGGCCUGUGUAGGUGUCUGGUAACGGAUGCUGGAGGUAUCAGAAGUGCGAAUGCUGACAAGAGUAGCGUUAAAGGGGGUGAAAAGCCCCCUCGCCGUAAGCGCAAGGUUUUCUACGCAACGUCCAUCGGCGUAGAGUGAGUCGGCCCCUAAGGCGAGGCAGAGAUGCGUAGCUGAUGGGAAACAGGUCAAUAUUCCUGUACCGAUGUGUAGUGCGAUGUGGGGACGGAGAAGGUUAGCUCAGCCAACUGUUGGAUAUGUUGGUUCAAGCCUGUAGUCGUGCCCGGUAGGCAAAUCCGCCGGGCUUAGAUGAGGGGUGAUAACGAGGCUGCUUGCAGCCGAAGUGAGUGAUACCCUGCUUCCAGGAAAAGCCACUAAGCUUCAGCUACACACGACCGUACCGCAAACCGACACUGGUGCGCGAGAUGAGUAUUCUAAGGCGCUUGAGAGAACUCAGGAGAAGGAACUCGGCAAAUUGAUACCGUAACUUCGGGAGAAGGUAUGCCCCAAGUAGGUGAACCUGUACAAGGCGAGCCCAAAGGGGUUGCAAAAAAUCGGUGGCUGCGACUGUUUAAUAAAAACACAGCACUCUGCAAACACGAAAGUGGACGUAUAGGGUGUGACGCCUGCCCGGUGCUGGAAGAUUAAAUGAUGGGGUGCAAGCUCUUGACUGAAGUCCCAGUAAACGGCGGCCGUAACAAUAACGGUCCUAAGGUAGCGAAAUUCCUUGUCGGGUAGGUUCCGACCUGCACGAAUGGCGUAACGAUGGCCACACUGUCUCCUCCUGAGACUCAGCGAAGUUGAAAUGUUUGUGAUGAUGCAAUCUCCCCGCGGAAAGACGGAAAGACCCCAUGAACCUUUACUGUAGCUUUGUAUUGGACUUUGAACAGAUCUGUGUAGGAUAGGUGGGAGGCUUUGAAGUGAGGUCGCUAGAUCUCAUGGAGCCAACGUUGAAAUACCACCCUGGUGUGUUUGAGGUUCUAACCUAGGUCCAUUAUCUGGAUCGGGGACAGUGCAUGGUAGGCAGUUUGACUGGGGCGGUCUCCUCCCAAAGCGUAACGGAGGAGUUCGAAGGUACGCUAGUUACGGUCGGACAUCGUGACGAUAGUGCAAUGGCAUAAGCGUGCUUAACUGCGAGACUGACAAGUCGAGCAGAUGCGAAAGCAGGACAUAGUGAUCCGGUGGUUCUGUAUGGAAGGGCCAUCGCUCAACG
rnacentral:rRNA from 1 species